AGAAGGGAAGGCCCCCGUGGAGUGUGUAGGAAGUCACUUCUCAGAUAUGACUGAGCUAUUUGGCAUGUGGAGUGAGCCUCUGUGUCAGAGCUGUCAGAUCAACAGAAGUCCUGGCCUGGGCACUGCAGGGAGCCUGGCAAUCUGUUAGUUUCAAACAUCAUCUCUUCAUUCAUUCCUGUGAUGCAUGGUGGAGCCAAGAGGGAAAAGGCUCCAACAUACUCUGGAGGACCGCAGGACUUGGCAGAAAGAAUCCUAACCAGUGUUUCCAAUGGGAGGAGAGGAGGAAGCUGUGAGAAAGCCUGCCUCACAGCAUUGUGUGGUGGUGAUGGAUGCUACUGCUCAGAUUCUAGCCCAAAGCCUUUUUAUUUAAGGAAUGAUGCUCUAAGCCCCCAAGAAAUGUGCAUCCAUGGUCAGCUUCUGCUAGCUCAGGACACUGGUCACUUUAGACAUGAAGCUGUUCUUUUAGACUCACUGUAUCCAGGAAGCAAUGAAGUACAGAGGCUACAAAGCCUUCCUACAUUCCAAUCCAAUGCUUGAACCCAGUUCUGAGCCAGAAGAUCUUACAGGAUUUUAAAACUUUCACUUUUAGCUAUUUCCAAAUUUCUUGUCUAUGGAAACUGGUGAAAAAGAAAAGGAAGUAUUGAAAUAUGGAUAUUGCAAGGCUCUGAUCAACUGUUUUUCAGCAGGGGAAAAUCUUGAGCAAAUAGUGGUCCUUCCAGAAAGUCCCUGCAAAACACUGUAGGGAGCCCCCAAGGACCUUGGCCCCAGACAUGGAUUUAGCACAUCCCAGAACCACUAACUUUCAGCUGUGAGUUCCAGAGGCAAUUGCUCCCUUUCCCUUGCUUUAAUUUUUUCAAUGUUGUAACAUAAUUAUAUCAUCUCCUCCUUUCUUCCCCCUCAUUAAACUCCCUACAUGUCCCUUCUCUUUUUUUCACUAAUUGUGAGUCUUAACUUGGUUUGAGAGGCAUAAGCAACAUGCUGGAGUUCAGGGAGGUGAAGGUAUUCUGGGGUCUCAAGUCCCUGGGCAAUGUAGUCUCCAAUAAUGAUUGAAAGAGAAAACUCUGAUCUGAGACAGUAUGUCAAGGCCACUCACGAUGAAUAAUUCACUAAGAAGCUGGCUUGGUUUCAAGUCACAAUUAGUUUUAAGCAGGUAAGAGGAAACAGGUAAAAGAUAGGAACACGUGCCACAGUUCCUACUACUCCGCCACUGCCUCACUUGAAAGGAUCUCAUCUUUGGUGCAUCUGUAGAAUUUCCAUGUCUUAGGUCAUGCUGGUAAUUAGACAAUACUCAGGCAGUUCUUCUCAGUCUGGGACCAUUUUAACAGUGGACCCAUAGUGACAAUCUCAGAGCCUUACCCCAUGAAAUGCUUCAAAAAACAUUCUAGUCUUGGAAGAAACAAUGAACUGUUGUCUCGGCAGAAGGCUAUCAGCACUAGUUGCCAUGUAUUUUAUUCUUUAUUCUUAUAAUCCAAUCUAUCCUGCUAGCUAACAAAUUUUGAACUGGUUGGACAUUUUAAACCUAUUAAUAAAGGACAAGGGAGAUGAUGUACCA
rnacentral:lncRNA from 1 species